GAUGAAGAACGCAGCAAAAUGCGAUAAGUAAUGUGAAUUGCAGAAUUCAGUGAAUCAUCGAAUCUUUGAACUCACAUUGCGCCCGCUGGUAUUCCGGCGGGCAUGCCUGUUCGAGCGUCAUUUCAACCCUCAAGCCCCCGGGUUUGGUGUUGGGGAUCGGCUCUGCCUUCUGGCGGUGCCGCCCCCGAAAUACAUUGGCGGUCUCGCUGCAGCCUCCAUUGCGUAGUAGCUAACACCUCGCAACUGGAACGCGGCGCGGCCAUGCCGUAAAACCCCAACUUCUGAAUGUUGACCUCGGAUCAGGUAGGAAUACCCGCUGAACUUAAGCAUAUCAAUAAGCGGAGGA
rnacentral:misc_RNA from 1 species